GUUUCACUGUGUUGGCCAGUAUGGUCUCGAUCUCCUGACCUCGUGAUUCGCCUGCCUCGGCCUCCCAAAGUGCUGGGAUUACAGGCGUGAGCCACCAUGCCUGGCCCAACUUCUUGAUUUUAUGACAAGAUAGAAACUACAACUAAAAACAGCUAGAAAAUGAUGAAAAUGAAAAAACACAUGGUUGACCAAGCUGACUUUAGAGGAAAGUUCAUAGCCUUAAGCACUUCCAUUAAAAGAAUGAAAAUAUAUGCAACACACAUUCAAUACUAGAGUUAACUUCUAUUUUCUUUUUUUUUUUUUUUUUUGAGACGGAGUUUCACUCUUGUCGCCCAGGCUGGAGUGCAAUGGCACGAUCUUGGCUCACUGCAACCUCUGCCUCCUGGGUUCAAGUGAUUCUCCUGCCUUAGCCUCCUGAGUAGCUGGAAUUACAGGCACCCACCACCACACCUGGCUCAUUUUUUUUGUAUUUUUAGUAGAGAUGGGGUUUCACCAUGUUGGCCAGGCUGGUCUUGAAUUCUUGACCUUGUGAUCCGCCUGCCUUAGCCUCCCAAAGUGUUGGGAUUAUAGGCGUGAGCUACCGUCCCCAGCCUAUUUUCUCUCUUUUUUGAAACGGAGUUUCUCUCUUGUUGCCCAGACUAGAGUGCAAUUGCACGAUCUCAGCUCACUGCAACCACAGCCUUUGGGGUUCAAGCUAUUCUCCCGUCUCAGCCUCCCGAGUAGCUGGUAUUACAGGCAUGUGCCACCACGCCCGGCUAAUUUUAUAGUUUUAGUAGAGACGGGGUUUCUCCAUGUUAGUCAGGCUGGUCUUGAACUCCCGACCUCAAGUGAUCUGCCCGCCUCGGCCUCCCAAAGUACUGUGAUUACAAGUGUGAGCCACUGCGCCAGGCCUGUUUUCUCUUUUUUAAGGUGGAAAUCAAUAAAUUAGGGCCGGGCAUGGUGGCUUAUGCCUGUAAUCCCAGCACUUUGGGAGGCCAAGGUGGGCGGAUCACCUGAGGCCAGCAGUUCGAGACCAGGUUGGCCAACAUGGUGAAACCCCUUCUCUACUAAAAAUACAAAAAUUAACUGGGCA
rnacentral:lncRNA from 1 species